GCGUGGGGUUCUCACGGUGAAACCCUAGCCACCAAUCGCUCGCGUCUUUGACCCACCAAUCGCUCCCUUCUCGAGCUCCGCUUCCCGUUCCCCAAUUCUCUCCGCCGCCACUGCGCCGCCUCGUCCUCCCCUGACCUCGGAGCCCCAGCGUAUGGUCGUCGUCGCCGCUUGUGUAGUUCUUCCCGAUGCCUCCCCAUCCUCCAUCAGCCACCGCUGUGGGCUGUGGUUCUGGGCCGGUCACAGGUCGCUGCUGAGGAGCAGAGGAGGACGGCGGGGAGGGAGAAGGAGCACAGGAGGACGGCACUGGGGGAAGGAGAAGCGAACCCGGAGGCCGAGACGGCGCUCGCGUCAUGUGCCGGACGCUGCUCGUCGGCCCUCGUUGUCGUCCUCAAUCUAGCAUGAUGUGUGAAGAUCUGAGACAAAAAAGAAGAGGAAGAAUUUUGACGAAGAGUUGGGUCAUGGGGAACAAAGGUCAUCAGAACAUACAUAACUGUUGCCGAAGCCCUCUUGCUAAAGAGGAAAGCACAAGAAGAUAUGAUCGAAUUAAAUGGGUAGUGCAUUUAUCUUGUUGGUUAGUUCCCUCAUCGGCCUACUUACUGUUACCUGCGAGUUUCAGGUAUAAUACUCCCCCCCUUAGCAAAGGGUGAAUUCUCUGGUUUUGAUUGGCCGGGAGAAACUCCAUGAGUCUUGAGGAUUUUCGGAAAUGUUGGAAUCAGUGGUGUUUUGUUUUUGAUGAUAUUAUCCGAUAGAGGUGACAAGGAGAGAAGAUGCUAGCUCAAUGGUGCUGGCCAUGAAGGAUUUUGGCGCAUCCAAG